UCGUUUGCUCGAAUGCUCAGCUGCCGCGAAGAAAGAUCGUGGAGGUGACGCGCUCCAUCGCCAAAUGAGGACAUUCCACUCAAGCAGCAUCAGAUGUGGGACUGCUCAAUGAAACACGAGGUGCCUCGUCGAUGGCUGCCUUCUGGAGAGCAAUGAGAUUUGGGCUCCCUGCCGCUCCUGCUGCGGCUGCUGCGUCGCAUGGUAUCCCUGUUGUUGAUAUCGACGGGGACGGCAAUUUUAUCAUGAACAUUCAGGAGCCGGCCACAAUCCACGUCGAGAAGCUCCGGUCUUGAAUAAUCAGCAUCUGGGAAUGGUUGCACAAUGGGAGGAUCGAUUUUACAAGGCGAACCGAGCUCACACAUACCUGGGCGAUCUGGACGCGGAAGCAGAGGUCUAUCCUGACUUCCGUAAGUUUGCUGACGCUUGCAAAGUAUGCGAAGGGACCAAUGUCUGAUUCUCACGGGGAGGACAGGGUAUAGAAGGAGAAAGCUCGGGCUUUGGGGUGUUCAUCAGAACAAGGCAUAGAGCUUGUCUUUCAUCAUUAGAACUCUAACGAUUGUUAUCCAGUGUUUCAAGAGCAUCGAGAAGAUAAAAGCAGACAAGGAGGAAGAAAAUACGUUUUCGUGCCAAUGCUGGGUGCUCAUUGCGGCGGUGACGUUUGUCGAAAGAACAACCGAUUUCCUGGUAAGAUCCAGAGCUAGCUAGAAUAGCAAGCAGUGAGGUGUCUUUGCUUGCUGUAGGC